rnacentral:rRNA from 1 species
CGGGGUGCUGCAGCAGUAGGGAAUAUUGGACAAUGGGCGAAAGCCUGAUCCAGCAACACCGCGUGCACGAUGACGGCCUUCGGGUUGUAAAGUGCUUUUAGAGGAGAUGAGAAAGGACAGUAUCCUCUGAAUAAGCCUCGGCGAACUACGUGCCAGCAGCCGCGGUAAAACGUAGGAGGCAAGCGUUAUCCGGAUUUAUUGGGCGUAAAGCGCGUGCAGGCGGUCUAGCAAGUUGGAUGUGAAAGCUCCCGGCUCAACUGGGAGAGGUCGUUCAAUACUGUUAGACUAGAGAAUAGGAGAGGGAGGUGGAAUUCCGGGUGUAGUGGUGAAAUGCGUAGAUAUCCGGAGGAACACCAGUGGCGAAAGCGGCCUCCUGGACUAUUUCUGACGCUAAGACGCGAAAGCUAGGGUAGCAAACGGGAUUAGAUACCCCCGUAGUC